rnacentral:ncRNA from 1 species
CUUACCGGAGGCUAUAUGGACCCUGAUCCCGCCCCUCUCCCGCGACGGAGAACCUUCUCAUUCCGGUAAGCCUGUUCAUCGUCUUACCGGAUGCGUAAGACGGUGACGUUC